rnacentral:rRNA from 1 species
AUUGAACGCUGGCGGCAUGCCUAACACAUGCAAGUCGAACGAGACCUUCGGUCUAGUGGCGCACGGGUGCGUAACACGUGGGAAUCUGCCCUUAGGUUCGGAAUAACAGUUGGAAACGACUGCUAAUACCGGAUGAUGACGUAAGUCCAAAGAUUUAUCGCCUAAGGAUGAGCCCGCGUCGGAUUAGCUAGUUGGUGGGGUAAAGGCCUACCAAGGCGACGAUCCGUAGCUGGUC